rnacentral:rRNA from 1 species
ACGGGAGGCAGCAGUGGGGGAUAUUGCACAAUGGGGGAAACCCUGAUGCAGCGACGCCGCGUGAGUGAUGAAGUAUUUCGGUAUGUAAAGCUCUAUCAGCAGGGAAGAAAAUGACGGUACCUGACUAAGAAGCUCCGGCUAAAUACGUGCCAGCAGCCGCGGUAAUACGUAUGGAGCAAGCGUUAUCCGGAUUUACUGGGUGUAAAGGGAGCGUAGACGGUGACGCAAGUCUGAAGUGAAAGGUGUGGGCUCAACCCGCAAACUGCUUUGGAAACUGUGUGACUAGAGCGUCGGAGAGGUAAGUGGAAUUCCUAGUGUAGCGGUGAAAUGCGUAGAUAUUAGGAGGAACACCAGUGGCGAAGGCGGCUUACUGGACGAUAACUGACGUUGAGGCUCGAAAGCGUGGGGAGCAAACAGGAUUAGAUACCCUGGUA